rnacentral:tRNA from 1 species
GCAGUGGUGAUUCAGUGGUAGAAUUCUUGCCUUCCAUGCAGGAGACCUGGGUUCAAUUCCUGGCCAGUGCA